rfam:Poecilia formosa, whole genome shotgun sequence.
CCAAAGGCCCUUUUCAGGGCCGCCCACUUAUCGGUUAAUCAGCUG